rnacentral:rRNA from 1 species
UACGUAGGGUGCAAGCGUUGUCCGGAAUUAUUGGGCGUAAAGGGCCUCGUAGGUCGGUUUGUCGCGUCGGGAGUGAAAUCCAUUGGCUUAACUGGUGGCUUGCUUUCGAUACGGGCAGACUGGAGGUAUGCAGGGGAGACUGGAAUUCCUGGUGUAGCGGUGGAAUGCGCAGAUAUCAGGAGGAACACCGGUGGCGAAGGCGGGUCUCUGGGCAGUAACUGACGCUGGAGGAGCGAAAGCGUGGGGAGCGAACAGG